rnacentral:rRNA from 1 species
GAUGAACGCUUACAGAAUGCUUAACACAUCAGCAAUUGAUUGGUGGCGGACGGGUGAGUAACGCGUAAAGAACUUUCCUCACAGCUAGGGACAACAUUUGGAAACGAAUGCUAAUACCUACUACUGUGAGAGAGCUUUGCGUCCCAUUAGCUAGUUGGAGGGGUAACGGCUCACCAAGGAGAUGAUGGGUAGCCGGCCUGGGAGGGUGAUCGGGCAAAAGGGGACUGAGACAUGGCCCUUAAUCAUACGGGAGGCAGCAGUGGGGAAUAUUGGACAAGGGACCAAAGUCUGAUCCAGCAAUUCUGUGUGCACGAUGAAGAUUUCGGAAUGUAAAGGGCUUUCAGUGGGGAAGCGGUACCAACAGAAGAAGUGACGGCUAAAUACGUGCCAGCAGCCGCGGUAAUAC